UCCUGUGUGGCUCAGUUGGUAGAGCAUGGUGCUUGCAAUGCCAGGUUUUUGGGUUCAGUUCCCACGGGGGAC
rfam:Salmo salar isolate Sally breed double haploid chromosome ssa09, whole genome shotgun sequence.